UACAGAGGUGGCAAGCGUUGUUCGGAAUUACUGGGCGUAAAGGGCGCGUAGGCGGCCUUCUAAGUCAGACGUGAAAUCCCCCGGCUUAACCUGGGAACUGCGUCUGAUACUGGGAGGCUUGAGUAUGGGAGAGGGAUGUAGAAUUCCAGGUGUAGCGGUGAAAUGCGUAGAUAUCUGGAGGAAUACCGGUGGCGAAGGCGGCAUCCUGGACCAUUACUGACGCUGAGGCGCGAAAGCUAGGGGAGCAAAC
rnacentral:rRNA from 1 species